rnacentral:rRNA from 1 species
UACAGAGGUCUCAAGCGUUGUUCGGAUUCAUUGGGCGUAAAGGGUGCGUAGGUGGCGCCGUAAGUCGGGUGUGAAAUUUCGGGAGCUUAACUCCGAAACUGCAUUCGAUACUGCGGUGCUUGAGGGACUGGAGAGGAGACUGGAAUUCAUGGUGUAGCAGUGAAAUGCGUAGAGAUCAUGAGGAAGACCAGUGGCGAAGGCGGGUCUCUGGACAGUUCCUGACACUGAGGCACGAAGGCCAGGGGAGCAAACGGG